rnacentral:rRNA from 1 species
GACGUAGGUGGCGAACGUUAUCCGGAAUCAUUGGGCGUAAAGGGUGCGUAGAUGGCCUGAUAAGUUAUUGGUGGGAAAUCGAGGCUCAACCUCGUGGAAGCUGAUAAUACUGUCGGGCUCGAGGGCAGGAGAGGUUAACGGAACUCCAUGUGGAGCGGUAAAAUGCAUAGAUAUAUGGAAGAACAUCAAUAACGGCGAAGGCAGUUAACUAUUCUGUUACUGACAUUGAGGCACGAAAGCGUGGGGAGCAAAAAGG